rnacentral:tRNA from 1 species
GGGCCGAUCGUCUAGCCUGGUUAGGACGCCUGCCUGACUCGCAGGAGGUCGCCAGUUCGAAUCUGGCUCGGCCCA